AAGACAUUGUGUCUUCGAGUCGUUGAUUUCACACUGCCGAGAAAAGCCUCUAGAUAGAAAAUAGGUGCCCGUACCGCAAACCGACACAGGUAGUCAAGAUGAGAAUUCUAAGGUGAGCGAGCGAACUCUCGUUAAGGAACUCGGCAAAAUGACCCCGUAACUUCGGGAGAAGGGGUGCUCUUUAGGGUUAACGCCCAGAAGAGCCGCAGUGAAUAGGCCCAAGCGACUGUUUAUCAAAAACACAGGUCUCUGCUAAACCGUAAGGUGAUGUAUAGGGGCUGACGCCUGCCCGGUGCUGGAAGGUUAAGAGGAGUGGUUAGCUUCUGCGAAGCUACGAAUCGAAGCCCCAGUAAACGGCGGCCGUAACUAUAACGGUCCUAAGGUAGCGAAAUUCCUUGUCGGGUAAGUUCCGACCCGCACGAAAGGCGUAACGAUUUGGGCACUGUCUCAACGAGAGACUCGGUGAAAUCAUAGUACCUGUGAAGAUGCAGGUUACCCGCGACAGGACGGAAAGACCCCGUGGAGCUUUACUGUAGCCUGAUAUUGAAAUUCGGCACAGCUUGUACAGGAUAGGUAGGAGCCUUUGAAACGUGAGCGCUAGCUUACGUGGAGGCGCUGGUGGGAUACUACCCUAGCUGUGUUGGCUUUCUAACCCGCACCACUUAUCGUGGUGGGAGACAGUGUCAGGCGGGCAGUUUGACUGGGGCGGUCGCCUCCUAAAAGGUAACGGAGGCGCUCAAAGGUUCCCUCAGAAUGGUUGGAAAUCAUUCAUAGAGUGUAAAGGCAUAAGGGAGCUUGACUGCGAGACCUACAAGUCGAGCAGGGUCGAAAGACGGACUUAGUGAUCCGGUGGUUCCGCAUGGAAGGGCCAUCGCUCAACGGAUAAAAGCUACCCCGGGGAUAACAGGCUUAUCUCCCCCAAGAGUUCACAUCGACGGGGAGGUUUGGCACCUCGAUGUCGGCUCAUCGCAUCCUGGGGCUGUAGUCGGUCCCAAGGGUUGGGCUGUUCGCCCAUUAAAGCGGUACGCGAGCUGGGUUCAGAACGUCGUGAGACAGUUCGGUCCCUAUCCGUCGUGGGCGUAGGAAAUUUGAGAGGAGCUGUCCUUAGUACGAGAGGACCGGGAUGGACAUACCUCUGGUGUACCAGUUGUCGUGCCAACGGCAUAGCUGGGUAGCUAUGUGUGGACGGGAUAAGUGCUGAAAGCAUCUAAGCAUGAAGCCCCCCUCAAGAUGAGAUUUCCCAACUUCGGUUAUAAGAUCCCUCAAAGAUGAUGAGGUUAAUAGGUUCGAGGUGGAAGCAUGGUGACAUGUGGAGCUGACGAAUACUAAUCGAUCGAAGACUU
rnacentral:rRNA from 1 species